rnacentral:rRNA from 1 species
UACGUAGGGGCCCAGCGUUGUCCGGAUUCAUUGGGCGUAAAGCGCGCGCAGGCGGCCCGGUGUGCCGCCCGGUGAAAUCCCCCGGCUCAACCGGGGGGGGUCGGGCGAGACUGUCGGGCUGGAGGCGGGUAGGGGGCAGCGGAAUUCCCGGUGUAGUGGUGGAAUGCGUAGAUAUCGGGAGGAACACCAGUGGCGAAGGCGGCUCUCGUGGGACGGUACUGACGCUGAGACGCGAAAGCGUGGGGAGCGAACAGG